rnacentral:rRNA from 1 species
UACGAGGGGGGCAAGCGUUGUUCGGAAUUAUUGGGCGUAAAGGGCGCGUAGGCGGUGCGGUAAGUCUGAUGUGAAAUCUCCGGGCUCAACUCGGAGUCUGCAUCAGAAACUGCCGUGCUGGAGUGUGGGAGAGGUGCGUGGAAUUCCCGGUGUAGCGGUGAAAUGCGUAGAGAUCGGAAAGAACACCAACGGCGAAAGCACUCUGCUGGGCCGACACUGACACUGAGAGACGAAAGCUAGGGGAGCGAAUGGG